rnacentral:rRNA from 1 species
UACGUAGGUGGCAAGCGUUGUCCGGAUUUACUGGGCGUAAAGAGCGCGCAGGCGGUCGUUCAAGUCGCGUGUGAAAGCCCCCGGCUCAACUGGGGAGGGUCACGCGAUACUGAUCGACUCGAAGGCAGGAGAGGGUAGUGGAAUUCCCGGUGUAGUGGUGAAAUGCGUAGAGAUGCGGAGGAACACCGAUGGCGAAGGCAGCCCCCUGGGCUAACACUGACGCUCAGGCACGAAAGCGUGGGGAGCAAACAGG